GAUGAACGCUAGCUGGAGGCUUAAUACAUGCAAGUCGAGCGGGAUUGGUAGCAAUACCAUGAGAGCGGCGCACGGGUGAGUAACGCGUACACGACCUACCUCUGACAGGGGGAUAGCCCUGGGAAACUGGGAUUAAUACCGCAUAUUAUUCUGAUUAAUAAAGGAUUGGAAUGAAAGUUCAGGCGGUCAGAGAUGGGUGUGCGUCUGAUUAGCUAGUUGGUAGGGUAAUGGCCUACCAAGGCGAUGAUCAGUAGGGGGCGUGAGAGCGUGAUCCCCCACACGGGUACUGAGACACGGACCCGACUCCUACGGGAGGCAGCAGUAAGGAAUAUUGGACAAUGGCCGCAAGGCUGAUCCAGCCAUCCAGCGUGCAGGAAGAAGGCCCUAUGGGUUGUAAACUGCUUUUCUCGGGGGAGAAGUCCCUGCACGUGUGCGGGGUUGACGGUACCCGGGGAAUAAGCAUCGGCUAACUCCGUGCCAGCAGCCGCCGUAACAC
rnacentral:rRNA from 1 species